rnacentral:rRNA from 1 species
CGGACGGGUGAGUAACACGUGGAUAACCUACCUAUAAGACUGGGAUAACUUCGGGAAACCGGAGCUAAUACCGGAUAAUAUAUUGAACCGCAUGGUUCAAUAGUGAAAGACGGUUUUGCUGUCACUUAUAGAUGGAUCCGCGCCGCAUUAGCUAGUUGGUAAGGUAACGGCUUACCAAGGCAACGAUGCGUAGCCGACCUGAGAGGGUGAUAGGCCACACUGGAACUGAGACACGGUCCAGACUCCUACGGGAGGCAGCAGGC